rnacentral:rRNA from 1 species
UACGUAGGGCGCGAGCGUUGUCCGGAUUUAUUGGGCGUAAAGAGCUCGUAGGCGGCUUGUUGAGUCAGCUGUGAAAACCCGCAGCUCAACUGCGGGCUUGCAGCUGAUACGGGCAGGCUUGAGUUCGGUAGGGGAGACUGGAAUUCCUGGUGUAGCGGUGAAAUGCGCAGAUAUCAGGAGGAACACCGGUGGCGAAGGCGGGUCUCUGGGCCGAUACUGACGCUGAGGAGCGAAAGCGUGGGGAGCGAACAGG